GCAGGUGCAUGAAUUUUAAUGAAGGGGAAUGAUGGCAGGUCUGAGUUUGAGGAGGGUGAUCACCAACAUUCAGGGUAUCUUGGGCCAGUGCUUUGCGUAGGACAAAACACCAGGUUCGUCUUUGCCAGCCACAUUUAUCCUCAUGAAGGACUGGAGACAGCACGACUGGUAAUUUCUGCAGUAGAAGUAGGUAUGCUCUAUCUUCCUGCAAGCGGUCCUGCAGACGCCCAUGCUACCCAUGCAUCGAAGGAGGGAAUGUCUUCCUGGACAAAAUAUAAAAUAACAUGACAGUGAUAAUUAAUUUCCACUUGGCAGUGACAUAGAUCUGAUGGGUCCGGGAGCAUCAUAAAAACCUAAAGGUUGACAGAGACUUCCACUUCCAGAAAAACAGUGCCAAAGUCAUUUUCUCUACUUGUCUUCUUAAAACCCUGGGCAUUAUACAUAAAUAUAAGAAUCCUCUGAAAGGUAAAGAGAAGAAGUCAAGCCAGGCAGGGACCUCAAGAUCUGAGGAACGAUCUCUUAGGUUUGAUUUUGCCUCUUAUAUUCUAGGAUGGUGCUGGAGAAGCUGGCAAUCUGGAAAUACAUGUGGGUGCAGAGAUUUUUUUAAAAAGAAGAAGAAGAAGUCCCUAAGAAAAUUCUGCUCUUUCUAGUCCAAAGACCAGGAAAAGGGCAGCCUAGCAAAACAGAACGUUUUAGACAGUAGCCUCUUUGCUCAAAAAACACAGAAAAGUCUACAGCCCCAUUCAUACCUCUAGUAAAUAUGGCCAAGUGGAGAGCUUAGACUUCCGCCCUUUCUAGAGUGAAAAGAAGCGCUNUGUGGUGAUUAUUAAAAUAUAAAUAACUUGUCACUCUGUAGGUUUUCCACCAAUACAAAAAGUACAACUGUUAUUGUGUAAACAUCAGUUAAAAAGGGUGUGGGGCGCAGGGUAAAUAGAAAAUACUGCUGAUAAUGGUGAGAAAACCAAAUGUGGAGAGGUUAAACUUUAUUCCCAUUUUAUUUUAUUAACAAAAUAAUCUAUUCAGAUAUAAUUCCAAUGACAAAAUUUUAACUUAUUUGAAGUAUACAAUUCAGUAGUUUUUAGGGUAUUCACAAGGAUGUACAACCAUUACCACAGUCUAAUUUUAGAAUAUUUCAUUCCCAUAAAAGAAACCCCAUUAGCAGUAAUUUUAUACUCCUUUCCCAAUUUGGCCCCUAUCAACCUCUAAUCUACUUUCUAUUCCUAUGGAUUUGCCUAUUUCAGAUAUUUCACAUAAAUAGAAUCACACAAUAUGUAUUCUUUUGUGACUGGCUUCUUGGCAUAACGCUUUCAAGGUUUGUCCAUGUCACAACAUCUAUCUAUCAGUACUUCGUUUCUUUUUAUGGUUGACUAAUAUUCUACUGUAUGGAUAUACCACAUUUUGUUCAUUCAUUCACCUCUAAUUGUUCAUUUGGCUAUUAUGAAAGAUGCUUACAUAAAUACUUCUGUACAGGUGAAAAAAUAAAUAAACCACUUAAGUACCAAAACUUCUAGCUGAGACUACAUGAGGACAGGUUUAAGGUUGUAAAUUUUCAAUGGAGUUUUUCUUUUUUUUAAACUGUAUACCCAGCACCAAAUUCAAAGCCAGAUAACAUCUUGUAAAGAAGGACCAUGUAGCUGGUUUAUCCUUUCACAGCAGAUGUAACACUUUCAGGACUGAGACCUAUGUCAGAGUCUCCUACUAGACACAUUUUUUUCAAACCCCAGGCAACAUCUCCUUUCCGGUGCCCUCACCUCCCUGCUCAAAGUCCAAACCUCAGGUUCACCUGAUGCACCAAAUGCCUCCAAGACAAAGUUGGGAUUCAGGGACUGCCUUCAGAAGAGUGCCUGCCUUCACCUGGCCUUAAUAUUCUUCAUCUUGUUUUCUUGCAAGGUCAAGAUGCUCAAGAAGUUUUAUUGUAUAUUUAACCAGUUUUAUUGUAUAUUUUAUUUUAUCGUAAGUUUUAUCAUAUAUUUUAAAUUGUUUUCAGUGAGAAGUUCAGCCCAGGUUCUUAGACCUACAUUUUCCCCCACACAGAUUCGGAACUAGCAUCUUUCUCCAGAUCCUAAGCUUUGUUGGGUGAAGUUCUGGGUGGCAGCAUCAAAGGAAGGAGAAAAGGAGGUAAUCCUCAAAGGAUGAACCCACCACUCAAUGUCUAAACCCAAGAUGCUGAAACGGCCACUUCCUUAAAUACAGGAGAACGGUGCUGGCCAGGCACAAGCUCUGUUUGCAGAGCACGGUGUUGAGCUUACGUCGCAUUUGGAAGGAGCAUUUGGGGGACCUGUAUUGGUUACAGAUGUGAAAAUGGGUUGGUGACACUGUGUACCCUGAAGCGAGCUCUACUGAUUGCAAAGUCAUUUCAAAACAUAAUACUGCCGGGCGCAGGGGACAGGGUUUGGGGCGGGGAGCACACCUGUAAUCCCAGUGGCUUGGGAGGCUGAAGAAGGAGGACUACGAGUUCAAAACCAGCCUCAGGAAUAGUGAGGUGCUAAACAGCUCAGUGAGACCCUGUCUCUAAAAACAAUUCAAAAUAGGGCAGGAGAUGUGGCUCAGUGGUUGAGUGCCCCUGAGUUCAAUCCCCAGUACCUUCCCCACCCCCCGCAAAAAAAAAAAAAGCGAUUGUGAUGAAUUCUGAAGAAUCAGAAAAGUAGAGAAAGAUAAUGAGCGAAGUGUGGCUUUGAAAAUGUAGAACUCAACAGGAAGAAAGAAAGAAGAUUAGUGGAAGAUAAGACUUAAAAAGCAAAAUUAGAACUUUUGGUUGAAACGCUAACAUUGGUUGUCACGGUGGGUAAUAGCCUCCUAGAUUUUUUAGGACUUAAAGGAUUUCCGCAGUCACCAAUGACAACCGCAUGUAAUAUUCAAAUUCCUCAGUGAUAACCAACAAACAAACCCCCAACCUCACAACCUGAAACUUUGACAGGACAGUUUAUCCCACAUUACAUUGGCUCUCUCUUAGUUCCAUAAACUGAGCCCAAAUUUGUCCACGAGAUUUCCACCUACUGCCUUACCACCCAUCCCACGAGUCCCAGUGCCCUCUGAGUCCUGGCUCGGCUGCACCCUUCAACCGUCCCUUAUUGAUCUCAGCUUCAUUCUCCCCCUCCCCCUGCCCACCUUCACUACCUGGUCCAGGUGCUAUCUCACAGAGCUGAGUCCAGAAGGGACAGACAGCUCACCACACAAAGCUCAAGUCCCUUGCUGAGAAUUCCCACGGAGGAAAGACAGACCACGGUGGCAGGUGCAUGAAUUUUAAUGAAGGGGAAUGAUGGCAGGUCUGAGUUUGAGGAGGGUGAUCACCAACAUUCAGGGUAUCUUGGGCCAGUGCUUUGCGUAGGACAAAACACCAGGUUCGUCUUUGCCAGCCACAUUUAUCCUCAUGAAGGACUGGAGACAGCACGACUGGUAAUUUCUGCAGUAGAAGUAGGUAUGCUCUAUCUUCCUGCAAGCGGUCCUGCAGACGCCCAUGCUACCCAUGCAUCGAAGGAGGGAAUGUCUUCCUGGACAAAAUAUAAAAUAACAUGACAGUGAUAAUUAAUUUCCACUUGGCAGUGACAUAGAUCUGAUGGGUCCGGGAGCAUCAUAAAAACCUAAAGGUUGACAGAGACUUCCACUUCCAGAAAAACAGUGCCAAAGUCAUUUUCUCUACUUGUCUUCUUAAAACCCUGGGCAUUAUACAUAAAUAUAAGAAUCCUCUGAAAGGUAAAGAGAAGAAGUCAAGCCAGGCAGGGACCUCAAGAUCUGAGGAACGAUCUCUUAGGUUUGAUUUUGCCUCUUAUAUUCUAGGAUGGUGCUGGAGAAGCUGGCAAUCUGGAAAUACAUGUGGGUGCAGAGAUUUUUUUAAAAAGAAGAAGAAGAAGUCCCUAAGAAAAUUCUGCUCUUUCUAGUCCAAAGACCAGGAAAAGGGCAGCCUAGCAAAACAGAACGUUUUAGACAGUAGCCUCUUUGCUCAAAAAACACAGAAAAGUCUACAGCCCCAUUCAUACCUCUAGUAAAUAUGGCCAAGUGGAGAGCUUAGACUUCCGCCCUUUCUAGAGUGAAAAGAAGCGCUGCCUCCGAGGAGGUAGCUGAGAAACCUGAGUGACAGCCUGGACCUUGACCCCUGCUGUGCAGUAACCU
rnacentral:lncRNA from 1 species